rnacentral:lncRNA from 1 species
UAAUGGCUUGGCUUACAAGAUAUGUCUAAUACAAGACUCACAAAAAUACAGCAAUGAAGUAUGAUGGACACACUUAAUCUUCACGCCUCAAAAUCCCCAAAACUGAAUGAAGGAACGACUUCCUUUUAUAUUGUAGUACCUGGGCCUUUGCACUUGUAUUCUCCUGAAUUUAAGGUCACGCUAGUUCCCAUAAAUUCAAUAUCUAGGUUACUAACAAAUAGGCUAUAUGUUAGGUUCAUUAAAUGUAGCUUGGUUGUUGAUUUCCUGGUUUUUCUCUAAGCUGUUGAAUCCCUGAAGAAUAGCCUGAGAAAAAGCUGAAACAGAAAACUGAACAACCUAUAAUAUAGCAUAUGCUGUCAGGAAUGAAUGUCAUGACAUUCAGCUAGACAUCAAGGAUCAUAUGCUGAGUCUGUUUUUCCAGAAAACAGACUGUACAAUUUUGUUGACCUGUACACGACCAAAAUGACCAUACUACAGUAACAGCGUACAUUAACAAAUGUCAAAGUAUCCAAUUUGACAUUUACACAUUUAGCCUUAAGUUAGUUCUGUUAUCC